rnacentral:rRNA from 1 species
GACAGAGGCCUCAAGCGUUAGGCGGAAUCACUGGGCUUAAAGCGUGUGUAGGCGGAUCGUUAAGUGCCUUGUGAAAUCCCACGGCUUAACUGUGGAACGGCUGGGCAUACUGGCGGUCUUGAGCCAUCUAGGGGCGACUGGAACAAACGGUGGAGCGGUGAAAUGCGUAGAUAUCGGAAGGAACGCCGGCGGCGAAAGCGGCGCACUGGAUCCUCACUGACGCUGAUGCGCGAAAGCCAGGGGAGCGAACGGG